rnacentral:rRNA from 1 species
UACGUAGGGGGCAAGCGUUGUUCGGAAUUACUGGGCGUAAAGGGCGCGUAGGCGGCACAGCAAGUCGGGAGUGAAAGCCCGGGGCUCAACCCCGGAACGGCUUUCGAAACUGCUGAGCUAGAGUACAGAAGGGGCAACCGGAAUUCCCAGUGUAGCGGUGAAAUGCGUAGAUAUUGGGAAGAACACCUGAGGCGAAGGCGGGUUGCUGGGCUGAUACUGACGCUGAGGCGCGAAAGCGUGGGGAGCGAACAGG